GUCCCCAUCGUCUAGAGGCCUAGGACACCGCCCUUUCACGGCGGUAACACGGGUUCGAAUCCCGUUGGGGAUG
rnacentral:tRNA from 1 species